rnacentral:misc_RNA from 1 species
GAUGAAGAACGCAGCAAAAUGCGAUAAGUAAUGUGAAUUGCAGAAUUCAGUGAAUCAUCGAAUCUUUGAACGCACAUUGCGCCCGCCAGUAUUCUGGCGGGCAUGCCUGUUCGAGCGUCAUUACAACCCUCAGGCCCCCGGGCCUGGCGUUGGGGAUCGGCGGAGCCCCCCGUGGGCACACGCCGUCCCCCAAAUGCAGUGGCGGUCCCGCCGCAGCUUCCAUCGCGUAGUAGCUAACACCUCGCGACUGGAGAGCGGCGCGGCCACGCCGUAAAACACCCAACUCUUCUGAAGUUGACCUCGAAUCAGGUAGGAAUACCCGCUGAACUUAAGCAUAUCAAUAAGCGGAGGA